ensembl:lncRNA
CUGAAACUGAUUUGCAUAAUAGUGAUGCAAGACUUCCCCAAUGAGUCAGACGUCACUGUUAACUCUAACUCUUCCAUGUAUCAUAACUUUCACUAUGAGUUACACCUAUCUCUUCCGCGUUUGCACCUCACGGCGGCAGGCACACAGUUGUUUGCAAUACUACCAUGUCUGUUGGACAUCUUUUAACUUUUUUGCUGAUCCUCUUGUCAAGUCAAGCCUGUUGGGGCGGAGAGAAAACCAAGAAUAUUGCUUGUGCAAACCUCAGAACAGGAUAUGCUUACAGAUACUGUGUAGAUGUGAAAGAGGAAUCAAUCUUAUGCGUGGAGUGGACGUCCAUGAUCCCCAAUGGGGUGAAUUCAACCACAGAUGAUACGUCUACGUGGCUUGCUGAACUUUGCCAACACAAAAACACUACACAUGCACCCAAUGUGAUUGAUGUCAGCUACUCCUGCAUCACCCUCCUGGAGUGUGUCAACGUAGACCACACUGCCAUAAGCAAUGUGACUGAGCAUUGGACCCGUAUCGUUGUCUCUGGUGCAUCAGAUGAGCCAAAGAAGCCUUUGGAGAAAGAGCCUGAUAGUCAGAAUACAAUUGCAGAUGAUGUGAAGCAGGAUGUCGACAACGAAAACCCCAACCAUGAGAACACUCACACAUGGCUCUUCCCAGACAAUCCUGAUUCAAACCGUGGUGACACUGAUUUGAUCUGGAAAAUCAUUGUUGGUAUUGUUGUUGCUGUCGUGCUGGUCAUUGCUGUUCUGUUCUGUGUGUUUAAACCUUGGAGAGACAAACAGUGCCACCAAGGCCACAGAGAUGUGGAAGAGGGUCAGGGCAAUCCAGAACCAAACUCCAAUCCUCUGAUGCAGAAUGAGCAACGUGAUUCCAGAGACAUCAGAAAGCCUGAUGACGGUGAGACUGUUGAGGCUGUGGUUGUUUCCAGGUUAGUUAAAAUACCUCUAUUACAUCUUUAUACUCUACUCUGUCCUGGAUCAGUUUGCCUUGCUUAUCCUUUCAGUCAUGGUCAUCAUGAUCUCACUUUUAGUGACCAAGGAGGUGAGCCAGGAGAGGAGAACAGGCAGCCCAUGGACAAUGAAGAGACAGGCGCUGACACCCCUCUGCUGAAUGGAGAUGCCAGCGACCAAGGAGAGGAAGGCGUUCUAGGAAUGGAGGAUGGAAAACCGUCAGACAAUGACAGAGCAGACACUGAAACCUGUCAGAAGACACAUGCUGAUUCCCCUCCACUGAAUGUACCCAAGGUUGUCAGGGUUAACAGCCAGACUGAUGACCCACAGCUUCUGGGUCAACCUCAGAGCAAUGGACGCGUGUCAUAUAGAAGGGAAUCACACCUGACUGAUGGGGCUCCAGGUCAGGGUGCUGGUGAGACUUCACCCCUCCUCUGCAGAAGCCCAGGAGAGGAAGGCGUGCUAGAAGGGCAGGACAGGAAGUCAGCAGACAGUGGGGGAACAGACCCUGAAUCCUGUCAGAAGACACAUGCUGAACCCCCUCUAGUGAAUGGACACCCUGAUGUCAGGGUUAACAAUGAGACUAAGGAAGUGACUCCUAGUGCACAGAGUCCAGGACCUCCUCAGAUGAAUGGAGGACCUCCCAUGUCUAACAGAGCUGCAGAGGAGACCACUGCUCUAUUGGACAAACAGGCCUUGGACAAGGACCAAGUCACCAAACCUCCUGAGUUAAUAGUAAGUACUGUUUAUGUCCUCUGACAACUGGUGAACUGUUUGGCUUGGUAUCUAAAAUGAUGGGACUGGUUGACUUUUAGCUCCAACAUAUUUGUAACUCUUGUGUUUUUCCCAAGGACAAAGGACCUAAUGACAUGGAGUCAAGAGGAGAACUGUAACAAGCGGUGGACGUUUGUAUAACAAAAGAGAACCUAACACCAUAUGAUAAGAUACAGUAAUACUGUAUAUAAUAUACAUAUUAUAAGAUACACAUUUGUGACUUGCUUCAUCAUAAUCAGUCAUGUCAACCCCAAAACACAUUCUGAAAAGUCUUUCAAUGAUUUUCUAAAAUCUAAGCAGUUUAUUAAGUUAAUUCUCUAUGCAACAUCUGUAACUUGGAUAAGUUAGGAAAUGUGUUCUAGUGAUAUCAGUUGAAAUUACAAAACAGCCCAAAACCUUUAGAUAACUUAUCUAAAUUAUUAUUAUCUAGAUGUUUAAUUACUAUUAUCUGAAAAUGAGUGUGCGACAUGACUGAUUAUGAUACAACACGUCACAUAUUAGCUAUACAACAUUAUAUAUCAAAUUAUAUGAAAGUAUGAUAAGAUCAUACACUAGUAUUGUAUAGUAUACAUACAAGCAAUUAUAUAUAUAUAACAUACACGUGAAAAGAUGCUUAAAACAUGAACCUCUCGAGUAUAGACAUAUCCAAGAUCAUGAGGUCUCAAUGUCUUGUGGACAUGUUAAAUAGCUAAACAGUGACUAGGCGUUAUUUAGAGUAGGCAUCAUUAUCACAGGGCCCAGUCUAAGAAGCUCUAUUUUACUGAAGCAAUUAUUCAUUAUUUCUGAAUUGAGAGUUAGCAUGUCAGUUAAAAUAACUUGCAUAAUUUGUCCCAUUUAACACACACCUGUGAUCUUACUUUCAGUAAAGAAAGUUAAUGUUCCAUUUUAGGCUCUAGAUGAUAUUACAUCAGACUUUAUUUAAACCACUGUUUUCAUAGGAAAUCAUGAUUGGUCAGUUUAAACAGGUAACACUUCAUAUGGAUGUUGUCUUUAUAAUGCAUUAUAGGAGCGUUAAUAGCACCUUCUAUGCAUAAUGCAUCAGGAUGCACAACAUAGGUGCUAAUAACUGCUCAUGGACAUCUAUAACUGCAUGAAGCAUUAUCACCAGGAUGUGUAAUGCCUUAUGAAGCAAAGUAUUACUAUGCCAGAUGCCAUAUUUGACAAGCACAUUAGGAUCGUUAUAUUAUACAUUAUGUGCUCAUUAAGUGAUUGGCCAUAUUGUAAUUUCACUGCACACCCUCUUACACCUAUGUAACUCCACCCAAAUUGCAAAAUGACACAGUUGUUCUUACCCUGUAAGCAGUCUAUGGACAAGAUAAGAAAGCAAUCCAUGCUUUGGUUUUGUUUACUGUACUUGGUCACAGAAAUGCUAAUGUUUUAGCAUUUGUGGCACAUAUCCAAGUCAAUAACCCUGAUAUAAGCAUUUUUGCAUUUCAUAUCCAAAUCAUCCUAAAGCAGGGAUCCUCAACUAGAUUCAGCCGCAGGCCGUUUUUUUCUUUUUUUCUUUGAGUGGAUGGUCAGGGUGCCGGAACCUAAUUACAAAUCAUUUGUAGACUGCAAAUUAACUGCAAGAAGCCCAAAAAUAUAUAAUAUUUCACCAAAACAUGAUAAUUUCAAACCCUGCUUACAUUUGUUUAUGAUCACAUAUAUCUAUCUAUUAUGCGUGGGAUUUCUUUCCAAAACUAAAAUCAUUUGGAGCCGAUUUGCUGGUGUUUUAUUUUUAUUUUUUUAAAUCUCCCCUCCAACCUGGACUCAGGGGUAGUAACAUUGUAAAAAUACAUCCGGGACUCUCCAGUUAGUAUGAUACUGUAUUAAUUAGUGGAUGUCCAUCCAUUUCGGAUGAUAUGUUACGAAUUGCAAUUUUUUUAUAUGUUACGAAUUUGCAAAAUGUAUGAUAUGUUACAAAUUCAAAUUUCUUGUGGUUAACGUUAGCUAAGUGGCUAGGUGGCUAACUCUAGCUAGGUGGCUAGCGUUAGAUAGGCUAGGGCUUAGGGUUACGGUUACAUUUAAGGUUAGGUUAGGUUGAAGGAUUAAGGUUAGGGGAAGGGUUCGCUAACAUGCAAAGUAGCUAAAAAGUAGUAAGUAAUUGCAAAGUUGCUAAUUAGCGAAAAUGCUAAAGUAUCUCGUGAUGAUAUUCAAACACGCAACCUUUGGGUUGUUAGACGUUCGCAUUAUAAGUCCACCCAUCCAAAACCAAAGCAUGGAUUGCUGUCUGAGCUUGUCCAUAGACUGCUUACAGCUUAAAGAAAGCAAAUUAUAUUUUGUAAUUUGGGUGAACUAUCCCUUUAACAGGAGUGCGGAACUCCUACGUGAAGUUGUUACAGUAUAGGCCUCUGACACAAUUUCCUAAAGAGCAUUUCAUGUAGGUCUUACCACUUAGCUUCAUAACCCAUUGAGGCACACACUGGUUGAAGUAACAUUGUUUCCACAUAAUUUCAAUGAAAUUACAUAAACCAAUGUGGAGUAGACAUUGAAUUGACGUCUGUGCCCAGUCGGAAGGCAUUAUGCUGCCAACUUAUAAUUCCAUUUAUUAGCAGCCAUUAGAGCCUAUGUCGUGCAUUAUAAUGCAUAUUGCGCAGAUAAGGUGUUAUAAAUGCACUUAUAACACAUUAUGAAGAGGUUAUUCAUUGGAAGUGUUACCUGCAGUUCUUGCGGAAGGAACUGUACCCAAGUCCCCAGCUACUAGUGACAUUGUGAAAAAUAUCACACCUUUAGACAGGAAUUGUGUAGCUAUGUUAACAUUUGUGUUCACCGUUUCAUUAAAAUGUUUAGCACAUUGAGAGUAUCUGUCAGGUCAAAUGACUUAGGCGAAUGACAUACCCACCUACUUUGAGACCUUAUAACCUUAGUGUCAGAAAAGGUUCAUUUUCUUCCUCUUUUGAUUAUGUUAAUUUGACUUACUUGUAAUGUGUUUGAUGUCAUGUUUGUGGGUUGGUCCCAUACUUUCAUGAAUGGUUUUCACCUGAUGCUUUUAUGGUUAGUUACCUUACACAUGUAUUUUGUUUUAUUUCCUUAUUACAUUUUUAUGACCAAUUUACACUGAGUGUACAAAACAUUAAGAACAUGACAGACUGACCAGGUGAAUCCAGGUGAAAGCUAUUAUCUCUAAUUGAUGUCACUUGUUCAAUCCACUUCAAUCAGUGCAGAUGAAGGGAAGGAGACAGGUUAAAGAAGUUUUUUAAGCCUUGAGACAUGGAUUGUGUGUGGGUGCCAUUCAGAGGGUGAAUGGGCAAGACAAAAGCUUUAAGUGCCUUUGAACGGGCUGUGGUAGUAUGUGCCAGGCUCACUGGUUUGAGUGUGUCAAGAACUGCAACGCUGCUGGACUUUUCACUGACAAACAGUUUCCCGUGUGUAUCAAGAAUGGUCCACCACCCAAAGGACAUCCAGCCAACUUGACACAAUUCUGGAAAGCAUAGUCGACAUGGGCCAGCAUCCCUGUGGAAAGCAUUCGACACCUUGUAGAGUCCAUCCCUUGAUGAAUUGAGGCUGUUCUGAGGGCAAAAGCGGGUGUAACUCAAUAUUAGGAAGGUGUUCCUAAUGUUUGUACACUCAGUGUAUAGCACUAUGCAUUUUGACUGUUGGAUUGAUAUGAUCUACUCGUACAUUGCCAAUACAAGUGAGUUAAGACUAUUGUUGAAUGAACGACUCAGGUCUGAUGGAUACAAUUGUCCCUCAUACUCUCAUGUAUUAUUUGUAAUAAACUUUUUGCAUGUAUUUGUAUGAACAAACCUCCAGAUUAUUGUCAUAUCUACUUUUUAGGAAGGCUAUUCUGUAGAGUUUUGUGUAUGGUCACAACUUGUUUCAUUUAAUACGUUAACAUUUUAGUAAUUUAGCAGAUGCUCUUAUGCAGAGUGACUUACAGGAGCAAUUCAAGUUUAGUGCCUUGCUCAAAGGUACCUCGACAGACCUAGUCGGCUCGGAGAUUCAAACCAGGGACUUUUCAGACUUUUCAGAGUUGCUUUCCUUUUAACAUUAAAACAUUCCUUUCCAG